rnacentral:rRNA from 1 species
CCAGCAGCCGCGGUAAUUCCAGCUCCAAUAGCGUAUAUUAAAGUUGCUGCAGUUAAAAAGCUCGUAGUUGGAUUUCUGGUUUGAUACAGUUUACCGGCCACGGUUUCGUGUGUUAGUGUUUGCUGUUCUGACCAUCCUUCCAAUCGCUGCUCACUUUUCUUCAUUGAUUGGUGAGUGGUAUUGGAUCUUUUACUUUGAAAAAAUUAGAGUGUUUCAAGCAGGCUUUAUGCUAUGAAUACAUUAGCAUGGAAUAAUAAUUUAGGACUUCGGUUCUAUUUUGUUGGUUUCUAGGACUGAAGUAAUGAUUGAUAGGGAUAGUUGGGGGUGCUAGUAUUCAGCGGCCA